UUGAACGCUGGCGGCAGGCCUCACACAUGCAAGUCGAGCGGAUGAAGGGAGCUUGCUCCUGGAUUCAGCGGCGGACGGGUGAGUAAUGCCUAGGAAUCUGCCUGGUAGUGGGGGAUAACGUCCGGAAACGGGCGCUAAUACCGCAUACGUCCUGAGGGAGAAAGUGGGGGAUCUUCGGACCUCACGCUAUCAGAUGAGCCUAGGUCGGAUUAGCUAGUUGGUGGGGUAAAGGCCUACCAAGGCGACGAUCCGUAACUGGUCUGAGAGGAUGAUCAGUCACACUGGAACUGAGACACGGCCCAGACUCCUACGGGAGGCAGCAGUGGGGAAUAUUGGACAAUGGGCGAAAGCCUGAUCCAGCCAUGCCGCGUGUGUGAAGAAGGUCUUCGGAUUGUAAAGCACUUUAAGUUGGGAGGAAGGGCAGUAAGUUAAUACCUUGCUGUUUUGACGUUACCAACAGAAUAAGCACCGGCUAACUUCGUG
rnacentral:rRNA from 1 species